AGAAGGUCUAAAAGGUCUAUAAAAUCAUACAAUGUGAUUUUCUGGAUUUUCUCUCACAGUUGAAGUGUACCUUUGAUAAAAAUGACAGACCUCUACAUGCUUUGUAAGUAGGAAACACUGCCGAUUUUGCAGGUUAUCAAAUACUUGUUCUCCCCACUGUAUGUAUGUGUGUAUGUGUAUAUAUAUAUAUAUGUGUGUGUGUGUGUGUGUGUGUGUGUGUGUGUGUAUAUAUAUUAGUGGCUACUCUACUGGACCAGUCAACAGUUUGGACACACCUACUCAUUCCAGGGUUUUUCUUUAUUUUUACUAUUUUCUACAUUGUAGAAUAAUAGUGAAGACAUCAAAACUAUGAUAUAACACAAAUUGAAUCAUGUAGUAACCAAAAAAGUGUUUUGGCCAAAAUGUCCUGGUACUGGGUAAAGUUGACCUUACCAAGGGCCCCGGACCAGUGGAAGGUCAAUAGCCCCAUUACAUUACAGAUCCACCAGCAUGUUCUACAGUAGCUGUGGGCGCCUUUUGUUCCACUGGUCCGGGGCUCUUGUUAAGGUCAACGGCAUCAUGAACUUUUAUCCAGUACCAGGACAUUUUAGCUAAAAAAAUGGUUGCCUCUGCACACAUCAAAAUCCACAAAUGAAUGGUUAUUUGGCCACAAAAUCAACAUUUUGCAAUGGCCAUCUCAGUCUCCGGACUGAAAACCCAUUGGAAACUGGUGGUUUGAAUAGAAGAGGGCAAUGGUCUACGAUCCCUCCUAAUGUGUUCUCCAACUAAUAAAGCAUUUUAGAAAAAGGCUCAUUGCGGUUAUCCUCACAAGGUGUGGUAUUGAAAGGCAAUAUGUACGUUUUGGCAAUAUGUACAUUGUUAAGUCAUGCCAAUAAAGUAAUUUGAAUUGAGUUGAAAUGUACUGAAAACGGGUAUGAAUCAUUUGGACGACUUUAAGGUUUUUAAACAAAAUCUCUUUAUCUGAGCAGUUGUAUUAGUAUAAAAAAAAAAUCCCUUUUUUUAGCAUAGCAAUCUAGCUCAGUAUUUUAAUUGUUUUAUGCAGUCAUUAUUGCUCAUCUUUAUCAAGGGUGUCAAUCAUGUAUCAAGGGUGUCAUUCAUGUAUCAAGGGUGUCAUUCAUGUAUCAAGGGUGUCAACCAUGUAUCAAGGGUGUCAACCAUUUAUCAAGGGUGUCAACCAUGUAUCAAGGGUGUCAACCAUGUAUCAAGGGUGUCAACCAUUUAUCAAGGGUGUCAACCAUGUAUCAAGGGUGUCAACCAUGUAUCAAGGGUGUCAACCAUGUAUCAAGGGUGUCAACCAUGUAUCAAGGGUGUCAAACAUUUAUCAAGGGUGUUAACCAUGUAUCAAGGGUGUCAACCAUGUAUCAAGGGUGUCAACCAUGUAUCAAGGGUGUCAAUCAUUUCAGGGCCCACUAUUAUCCAGGACACACAGCUUGUUUUACCUGUAUUUUUAGGACUUAGGACUACCAGCACACACGGAUGGUUGAAACACAAAUAGAUUAGCUACUGUAUGUAGCAGGGGUCAUUUAAUGAGCACCACACAUUAAUACACAAAGCCUGCUUGGUUUCCAAUCCUUAUUGAGUAAAAAUACAGAGUACAGCAGCCCUCACAUAGCAAACUCAAGACGUCAGAGUCCAGACGUGCUGCUAUGAUGUUAACUUCAGUCCGUUAUAACUCAGCUGUCGGGCAAGAAAGGACUGUAAAAGUAAAAAAGGACUUCAUAAAUAUCAAAUCAAAUUUUAUUUCUCACAUGCGCCGAAUACAACAGUGAAAUGCUUUCUUACAAGCCCUUAACCAACGAUGAUGCAGUUUUAAGAAAAUACCAAAAGAAAGGUAAGAGAAAUAUGUGAUUGAUUGAUAACAGCUUCAGUCUUUCUUUCCAAAGAACUUGUUGAAGACAGACUUCUUGCGUGGCGGAGGCAGACCGGUGCAGGACCUCAGAGAUGGUUCCUGGUCGUGGUGGUACAUUGCUUGGUGCUGGUGAAGCUGCCUUCUUGUAGUAGAUUCCUGGUGAAAUGAGUGGUGCUGCCAUCCAUCCAGGAGGGGGCGCUGUGGGUCAGUGUGACUGGUGAUAGAUGGACCACUACCAUCACAACUGAGAGUGGGAGAAGCGGCAGACUGCUUGUCUCCUAUAAUCAUAGUCACGGAGUAGUUUGACCCACAGUCCAGACCCACUGAUCCGUAGUCCCGGCCUCUGCCUCCUGGGGGCAGCAACGCUGGUUUAAUAUUCUGGUACCUUGCUGAGAGAGCAGAACAUGUGCAUAAAUACGAGACAGAUUUUUUUUUCCAUUCAAGGCCUAGCAUAGUUAAAGGUGCUCAGCUCAGAGAGAGCUAUUGGGCUGAGCAGUGAGUGAGGCUGAGGGGAACUAGGUGGGUAGUGAUAGUGGGGUGGUCAGUGUAGUGAUAGUGGGGUGGUCAGUGUAGUGAUAGUGGGGUGGUCAGUGUAGUGAUAGUGGGGUGGUCAGUGUGAUAAACUAGGUGGGUAGUGAUAGUGGGGUGGUCAGUGUAGUAAUAGUGGGGUGGUCAGUAUAGUGAUAGUGGGGGUGGUCAGUGUAGUGAUAGUGGGGUGGUCAGUGUAGUGAUAGUGGAGUGGUCAGUGUGUUAAACUGGGUGGGUAGUGAUAUUGGGGUGGUCAGUGUAGUGAUAGUGGGGUGGUCAGUGUGUUAAACUAGGUGGGUAGUGAUAGUGGGGUGGUCAGUGUGUUAAACUAGGUGGGUAGUGAUAGUAGGGUGGUCAGUGUGUUAAACUAGAUGGGUAGUGAUAGUGGGGUGGUCAGUGUGUUAAACUAGGUGGAUAGUGGGGUGGUCAGUGUAGUGAUAGUGGGGUGGUCAGUGUAGUGAUAGUGGGGUGGUCAGUGUAGUGAAAGUGGGGUGGUCAGUGUAGUGAUAGUGGGGUGGUCAGUGUGUUAAACUAGGUGGGUAGUGAUAUUGGGGUGGUCAGUGUAGUGAUAGUGGGGUGGUCAGUGUAGUGAUUGUGGGGUGGUCAGUGUAGUGAUAUUGGGGUGGUCAGUGUAGUGAUAGUGGGGUGGUCAGUGUAGUGAUAGUGGGGUGGUCAGUGUAGUGACAGUGGGGUGGUCAGUGUGUUAAACUAGGUGGGUAGUGAUAGUCGGGUGGUCAGUGUAGUGAUAGUGGGGUGGUCAGUGUGUUAAUCUAGGUGGGUAGUGAUAGUGGGGUGGUCAGUGUAGUGAUAUUGGGGUGGUCAGUGUAGUGAUAGUGGGGUGGUCAGUGUAGUGAUUGUGGGGUGGUCAGUGUAGUGAUAUUGGGGUGGUCAGUGUAGUGAUAGUGGGGUGGUCAGUGUAGUGAUAGUGGUGUGGUCAGUGUAGUGACAGUGGGGUGGUCAGUGUGUUAAACUAG
ensembl:lncRNA